rnacentral:lncRNA from 1 species
UUUUGCAAUAAGAAACAAGUAACCUUUGCAGAAUUCCACCCAUCUUUCAAGGCUGGUCCCAGAAGUUCCCUUAGCCCAUGCACCUACCUGAUCCUGAUCACUUCCUAAACUGCAGCCUGGCCCACCUGGAUCCAGCAUCAUUUGUGGCGUGUCAGCUCCAUAAAUCCAGAGGGCAGGUGGCGUUGUGUCCUAACUUUCCCGAGCCUACUGUACUGAAACAGGACAGCAGAGUAGGCCAGCCUCUGUGACUUCUGCUCCCUCCCUAGCUUUUCCACCAGACCCCCCAUGGUCCCACCCUGGCUGUG